CAUUAUUGAAAAUCCAAAGGAUGUUGCUGGCCUUUCGAGGCAUGUGCACUCCUUUAAAUUUAUUUCAAUUCACCUGUGAACUUAUUGUAGGCCUUUAGUGUCUAUGUUUUAUUAUACACUCUUUAUAAAAAUAUUGAAUGUCUGAUGUAAGGCCUUUAAUGGUCAAAAACAUAAUACAACUUUCAACAAUGGAUCUCUUGGUUCUCGCAUCGAUGAAGAACGCAGCGAAUUGCGAUAUGUAAUGUGAAUUGCAGAAUUCAGUGAAUCAUCGAAUCUUUGAACGCACCUUGCACCCUUUGGUAUUCCGAAGGGUAUGCCUGUUUGAGUGUCAUUAAAUUAUCAACUUCAAAUGUCUUUUUGAAGCUUGGAUUUUGGAGGUUUAACUGCCGGAGUAAAAUGUCGGCUCCUCUUAAAUGCAUUAGCGGAAAUCUUAACUCUCAGCUUUUUGGUUUGAUAAUUGAAUAUCUAAGCCAUAUCAACUGUAGAUGUUUUAUAAUUCGCUUCUAAUUGUCCUUUUUGGACUGUCUCAUUUAGAGGCAUACUAUAUUUUAAGCUUGACCUCAAAUCAGGUAGGAUUACCC
rnacentral:rRNA from 1 species